GGGAAAAAAAUUGAAUAAAGAGCUUGAGCUCAAUUUUAAUAUAAAUAUUAAAAUUGAGUAGCAUAUGUAUCUUUAUUGAAUAAUGAAAAAUCAAAGCUCCGUAGUUCUCUUACCUUAAUUUACCUAAUCAUCAAAUCCAUCAGCGUCAAAUCUCUCGGAAUCGGUGACUUCAUCAUUUGGGCUCUUGUUGACUUGAUCUCAUUGAUUCUCUUGAGCUCUUAUGUCGUCUUUGUAUCAAUUAUCAAACAACAUGGUAGCCUCUAUGUUUUCGAGUAUCCAUGUUGCUUCUUCCUUCAUCUAAUAUAAGCCUACCAAUGCUAAAUAAUUGCUUGACCUAGAUCGUGGAGGCCGGAACGAAAAAUAGCCCAUUCGCCAUAAUGGAGAGAAUGAGAAAGUCUUUCUUGUGAAUCAACCAUCAAUGCUAGAUGCCGAUUUGACCACUUGUGCCUUUAAAAAUUAAAAAUACUAGAUAAAGUGCAAUACACUAUAUGAAUAUAUAGUGUAUUAAAAUCAUUAGUAU
rnacentral:lncRNA from 1 species